rnacentral:snRNA from 1 species
GGAUUAAAGGCAUGAGCCACCACCAUCCCCUUCCUCCCUCACCAUUCCAUGUGCAUCCCUCUCGAAGCUGCGCGCUCAGUCGAAGAGGACGACCUUCCCCAAAUAGAGGAGGACCAGUCUUCAGUCAAGGGUAUACGAGUAGCUGUGCUCCCCUGCUAGAACCUCCCCAAACAAGCUCUCAAAUGUCCUUUAAAUUGUACUUUGUUUCACAUGUGAAAGUGGCAAGGUUGUUUUAAGAAAUAUGAUUACUGAGAAACUUUAUUGCUUUCUUUCUUUCUCA